AAAAUGUUGCUUCUUUUUAUGUUGUGUUUGUUUUCAGUUUUUCUAAACACCCUAGCGAAUGUUGCAUGUGAAAAUUCCAAUUUAGAAUUAAACUGUGACGAUGGGAC